rnacentral:rRNA from 1 species
UAUCUGCAGAAUUCGUCCUUAGAGUUUGAUCAUGGCUCAGGAUGAACGCUGGCGGUAUGCCUAACACAUGCAAGUCGAACGAUGUCUUCGGACAUAGUGGCGGACGGGUGAGUAACGCGUGAGAAUCUGCCUCUAGGAUGGGGAUAACGGUUGGAAACGACCGCUAACACCCAAUAUGCCGUAAGGUGAAAAAUUUAUUGCCUGGAGAGGAGCUCGCGUCUGAUUAGCUAGUUGGUGGGGUAAGAGCUCACCAAGGCUUCGAUCAGUAGCUGGUCUGAGAGGAUGAGCAGCCACACUGGGACUGAGACACGGCCCAGACUCCUACGGGAGGCAGCAGUGGGGAAUUUUCCGCAAUGGGCGAAAGCCUGACGGAGCAAUACCGCGUGAGGGAGGAAUGCCUUUGGGUUGUAAACCUCUUUUCUCAGGGAAGAAGAUCUGACGGUACCUGAGGAAUAAGUAUCGGCUAACUCCGUGCCAGCAGCCGCGGUAAUACGGAGGAUGCAAGCGUUAUCCGGAAUCAUUGGGCGUAAAGCGUCCGCAGGUGGUUUCCAAAGUCUGCUGUUAAAGACUGGAGCUCAACUCCGGAACGGCGGUGGAAACUUGGAAACUAGAGUUCGGUAGGGGUAGCAGGAAUUCCCAGUGUAGCGGUGAAAUGCGUAGAUAUUGGGAAGAACAUCGGUGGCGAAGGCGUGCUACUGGACCGUAACUGACACUCAGGGACGAAAGCUAGGGGAGCGAAAGGGAUUAGAUACCCCUGUAGUCCUAGCUGUAAACGAUGGAAACUAGGUGUGGCUUGUAUCGACCCGAGCCGUG